rnacentral:rRNA from 1 species
UACAGAGGGUGCGAGCGUUAAUCGGAAUUACUGGGCGUAAAGCGUGCGUAGACGGUUAUUUAAGUCGGAUGUGAAAAGCCCCCGGGCUCAACCUGGGAAUUGCAUUCGAGACUGAAUAGCUAGGGUACGGUAGAGGGAAGUGGAAUUUCCGGUGUAGCGGUGAAAUGCGUAGAUAUCGGAAGGAACAUCAGUGGCGAAAGCGACUUCCUGGACCAGUACCGACGUUCAGGCACGAAAGCGUGGGGAGCAAACAGGA